rnacentral:rRNA from 1 species
GAGGGAACCCGGGGAACUGAAACAUCUAAGUACCCGGAGGAAGAGAAAGAAAAAUCGAUUUCCUGAGUAGCGGCGAGCGAAAGGGAAAGAGCCCAAACCAGAAGAUUUAUCUUCUGGGGUUAGGACUGCAUAAUUGAUUCAACGAAGAUAGGAGAACGGUCUGGGAAGUCCGGCAAGACAAGGUGAAAGCCCUGUAUCCGAAAUCCAAGUUGACAUGGCAGUAUCCAGAGUACCACGAGACACGAGAAACCUUGUGGGAAUGAGCGGAGACCACUCCGUAAGGCUAAAUACUACUUAGUGACCGAUAGCGCAUAGUACUGUGAAGGAAAGGUGAAAAGGACCCCGGGAGGGGAGUGAAAGAGAACCUGAAACCCUGUGUUUACAAGCUGUCGAAGCACUUUAUACGUGCGACGGCGUACUUUUUGUAGAACGGUCCGGCGAGUUAUGACAUGUGGUAAGGUUAAGUACUUCAGGUACGGAGCCGAAGCGAAAGCGAGUGUGAACAGCACGAAGAAUCACCUGUCAUAGACCCGAAACCGGGUGAUCUAUCCAUGUCCAGGAUGAAGCUGCCGUAAGAGGUAGUGGAGGUCCGAACACACAUCCGUUGAAAAGGGUGGUGAUGAGGUGUGGAUAGGGGAGAAAUUCCAAUCGAACCCGGAGAUAGCUGGUUCUCCUCGAAAUAGCUUUAGGGCUAGCCUAUGUUUAGUCUACCGCAGGUAGAGCACUGAAUUUCCUAGGGGGCGUCAAAGCCUACCGAAGAAUAUCAAACUGCGAAUGGCGGAGAGAUGAUGACAUGGAGUCAGACUGCACGAGAUAAGUUGGGUGGUCAAAAGGGAAAGAGCCCAGACCUACAGCUAAGGUCCCAAAGUAUGUGUUAAGUGGAAAAGGAUGUGAGAUUUCGAAGACAACUAGGAUGUUGGCUCAGAAGCAGCCAUUCAUUAAAAGAGUGCGUAAUAGCUCACUAGUCGAGAGGUCUUGCGCCGAAAAUGUCCGGGGCUAAAACACAACACCGAAGCUUAGGAAAUCGUCCAUCCUACAGAUGGCCGACGAAGAAAAUCCAUAAAUGGAAGAUUUUCUUCGGUUAUGUGUAGGGUGGAUGGUUUGGUAGAGGAGCAUUGCUGACAGGAUGAAGCGGUACCGAUAAGGAGCCGUGGACAGUCAGGAAGAGAGAAUGCCGGAAUGAGUAGCGAGAUGAAAGUGAGAAUCUUUCAGGCCGAAUAUCUAAGGUUUCCAGAGUAAAGCUGAUCUGCUCUGGGUAAGUCGGGGCCUAAGGCGAGGUCGAAAGACGUAGUCGAUGGACAACAGGUUGAAAUUCCUGUACUACGAUAUAUCAGAACUGUGGGGACACAGCGGGAAGACAUGAGCCAGAAGAGGAAAAUCUGGUGCAAGCAUAAGAGGAGUCAGAUAGGCAAAUCCGUCUGACAAUCCAACAAUGUGAUGCGGAGCGAACUAAAGUAGUGAAGCGUGUUUACCGGCUGUCAAGAAAAGCCGCUAUUGUGUAUACCGUACCCGUACCGUAAACCGACACAGGUGGAUGAGGAGAGAAUCCUAAGGCCGGCGGGAGAAGCAUUGUUAAGGAACUCGGCAAAAUGACCCCGUAACUUCGGGAGAAGGGGUGCUCACGGAAACGUGAGCCGCAGAGAAUUGGCCCAAGCAACUGUUUAGCAAAAACACAGGUCUAUGCAAAACCGAAAGGUGAGGUAUAUGGGCUGACGCCUGCCCGGUGCUGGAAGGUUAAGAGGAGAGGUUAGAGCAAUCGAAGCCUUGAAUUUAAGCCCCAGUAAACGGCGGCCGUAACUAUAACGGUCCUAAGGUAGCGAAAUUCCUUGUCGGGUAAGUUCCGACCCGCACGAAAGGCGUAAUGAUUUGGGCACUGUCUCGACAAUGCACCCGGUGAAAUUGAAAUACCAGUGAAGAUGCUGGUUACCUGCGCCAGGACGGAAAGACCCCAUGGAGCUUUACUCUAGCUUGAUACUGGGAUUCGGUAUUGCAUGUACAGGAUAGGUGGGAGACUUUGAUGGUAUGACGCCAGUCGUAUCGGAGUCGAUGUUGGGAUACCACCCCUGCAGUACUGGGUUUCUAACCUGCAGCCGUUACCCGGCUGGGGGACAAUGUCUGGUGGGGAGUUUGACUGGGGCGGUCGCCUCCGAAAGAGUAUCGGAGGCGCUCAAAGGUCUUCUCAGAAUGGUUGGAAACCAUUCGCAGAGUGCAAAGGCAUAAGAAGGCUUGACUGCGACACCGACGGGUGGAGCAGGUAGGAAACUAGGACUUAGUGAUCCGGUGGUAUGAAAGUGGGAUUGCCAUCGCUCAACGGAUAAAAGCUACCCUGG